rnacentral:rRNA from 1 species
GGAUAGAGGCCUACCAUGGUUUUAACGGGUAACGGGGAAUUAGGGUUCGAUUCCGGAGAGGGAGUCUGAGAAACGGCUACCACAUCCAAGGAAGGCAGCAGGCGCGCAAAUUACCCAAUCCCGACACGGGGAGGUAGUGACAAUAAAUAACAAUAUGGGGCUCUUACGAGUCUCGUAAUUGGAAUGAGUACAAUUUAAACCUCUUAACGAGGAACAAUUGGAGGGCAAGUCUGGUGCCAGCAGCCGCGGUAAUUCCAGCUCCAAUAGCGUAUAUUAAAGUUGUUGCAGUUAAAAAGCUCGUAGUUGAAUUUCGGGGUUCGUACGUUGGUCGGGCUUUUUGGUCUGUACUAGCGUAAUGGAUUCCUACCUUCUGAAUAACCGGCAUGCCAUUAAUUUGGUGCGUCGGGGAAGCAGGACUGUUACCUUGAAAAAAUUAGAGUGCUUAAAGCAGGCUAUCGCCUGAAUACAUUAGCAUGGAAUAAUGAAAUAGGACGGCAUGGUUCUAUUUUGUUGGUUUCUAGGAUCACCGUAAUGAUUAAUAGGGAUAGUUGGGGGCAUUAGUAUUCAAUUGUCAGAGGUGAAAUUCUUGGAUUUAUUGAAGACUAACUUCUGCGAAAGCAUUUGCCAAGGAUGUUUUCAUUAAUCAAGAACGAAAGUUAGGGGAUCGAAGACGAUCAGAUACCGUCGUAGUCUUAACCAUAAACUAUGCCGACUAGGAAUCGGACGAUGUUAAUUUUUUAAUGACUCGUUCGGCGCCUUACGGGAAAC